rnacentral:misc_RNA from 1 species
CAUAUCAUAUCUAGCUUGGCUUGUUGUUGGGCCCUUUGUCACUGGGUGACAGGUCCGAAAGACAAUGGCCGGUGUCAUACAGACUCCCUAUGCAACGAGCUUAUAACGGCACGCAUCUGGUGGUUAUGUGACCCGGUUUGCACCCUUUUCCUUCUCAA